rnacentral:rRNA from 1 species
UGGCGAACGGGUGAGUAACACGUGGGUGAUCUGCCCUGCACUUCGGGAUAAGCUUGGGAAACUGGGUCUAAUACCGGAUAGGAGCCAUCUUUAGUGUGGUGGUUGGAAAGUUUUUUCGGUGUAGGAUGAGCUCGCGGCCUAUCAGCUUGUUGGUGGGGUAAUGGCCUACCAAGGCGGCGACGGAUAGCCGGACUGAGAGGUUGGUCGGCCACAUUGGGACUGAGAUACGGCCCAG